ACAUCAGCAAAGUAUGAUGACCAGGUAGUUACAGGUAGCCCAAUGUUAACCAACCCCAAGGAAAACAAAAUAGAAAAAUUCAGUUGUGUAGAUGCCAGAAAGGGCACUUUGGUUGGUUGGUUUAAAUGGGAAGUAGCCUGCCAAACAAGCAUGAUUUAUGUUUUUGUGAGGAAACUGUCAGUGCUGUAACACAGCCAUUGCCAUAGCAGACUUUUUAAAGGUGCGUUAUCCAGCUUAGCUGCAACAGAAUGCUUCCAUAUAGCUCAGUGCAAAAACAUGACUCUGGGAAACCAAAACCACCAACCGCUCUGGAGCAGAACCAGGGCCAUGUGAAGGAUUCCCUCCAGACUGCUCAGCUCCUUUGUUUGGACAAUUCUAUGGAGUUUUGUGAACCUCUGCCUCAGCCUGUUGGGAUGAUCACUGCUGUGAGAUAAAACAGCUAAGGUUUCAAGUUAGGUUAGGCUGUCUAAAUUCUGAUGAGAUAAGAUGUUUAAAUUCCAGGCAAAUCCCUAACACAGAAGAAUGUCUGGGCCUCGACCAAGAUGGUGUCACUGGGUAUUUAGAAAGGUGCAUUGGCACCUGAAUUAGGCACUCUUUACUGUCAAUGGAAAGGGCCUCCAGCAAGCAAUUCAGAACAUGCAAAUGUGGUACCUAAUUGAGUACAGGACCUAGAUGCUCCCAGGUGUUGGUGAUUCUACAUUGAGCUGGACAUAAGUAAAAGCAAAACUUCAGAAAACAUACACUCCAGGGCAGGCAAGAAGUUCUUCCUCUCUCUCCACUUAGAAGGCUUCAGCCGACAGCUCCUUUCCCUCAGCUUUCAGCAUGGUGACCCUUUACAGAGCUGGGACCCCAACAGGUGUGGGUUCAGGAUGACUUGGGGUGCUCAGGAAAAUGAGUUCUUUCUUCUUCCCUUGCUAUGAAACUGAAAUUGAGUCUUGCUUACACCUGGAGAACAGAAGAGAUGUGAACACCGGGAAACCACACAAAGGGACCUUGAAAAUGGAUGUAUUUAGCAGCCAUACAAUCCAGAACAGCAUCCAACUUCUGCAUGGCUAAAGCAAGCAUACAGAGGGGAAAAAAGUUGGAAAACUGCUUUAGAAUCGGAGCCCUCCAGACAUUCUCUUACCCUGAUCACACAGUAUGUUUCCAAAUCCAGCCAUGAUAGAGACCAUGACAAAUCCACUGAAACCAACAUCAAUCUCCCACUCAUUUUCAAUAAAGCUGGCAUUUCAUCUUCAGCUAAGUACACAGUGCAGAAUCACAUCAGCACAAAGAAAUUGCUGUAGUGUCCAUAUUCUCAUCUGGCGAUAUCACCAUGGAAACCUCAUCGCAGAUUAAAGCUAACAACCCGGUACCAUUCAAUUAGCACAAGUGUCAUGCUACUCUCAUGAGCAGCUACAAAAAUAUAUAGUUUCUUGAGAUACUAAAAGCUUGCUGCACAGAUACCCCACGUGGGAAGAAAACUAGUUCACUAAUUUCAUGGAUAUAUCAUUACAUGCAAAAUUUAUGGCUGAAGAGUGUAUUGGUCAUUGUACUUUCAGAUGAUUUUGAAAUAAAGAAUUCCAAAAUCAAUAUUUAUUUCAGAUUGUAUCCACAAUAGCCCUCAUCUCAUUUUUUUCCAGCUAGUACUGCUGUUAGCUGACAUUGGAGAAAUAGAGAUUACAGUGGAGAAAUAAAC
ensembl:lncRNA